rnacentral:lncRNA from 1 species
UAAUGGACCAGGUGGGUGCAAUCGAAGACUUUCCUUCACAACUGCUUGUAAGAAAGGUAGCUUGCAAAUAUGUGAUUCUUCAAUCGUUUCAUCUUUACCAAUUUCUUGACAUAGCUCUUUUUUUGCUUUUGUUAAUUUUUCAGGAUUACGUAAUAGCUCUGCCAUGAUCCAUUCGAUUGUGCAUGAUGUUGUAUCAAUCCCAGCAACAAAUAAAUCCUAACAAAAUAUUGUUUCAACAUUCAAUUAAGUUUGCAGUAAUGUAGAAAAAAUAAUAUUGAGAAAUAUUUUUUGUAACACAAUUUUAUGAUUAUAUCAAUAGUCACUUUCAUUAUUUUAUUAAUCAUAAAAUAUUAUUA